rnacentral:rRNA from 1 species
GACGUAGGGUGCGAGCGUUUUCCGGAUUUAUUGGGCGUAAAGAGCUCGUAGGCGGCUUGUCGCGUCGACUGUGAAAACCCGCAGCUCAACUGCGGGCCUGCAGUCGAUACGGGCAGGCUAGAGUUCGGUAGGGGAGACUGGAAUUCCUGGUGUAGCGGUGAAAUGCGCAGAUAUCAGGAGGAACACCGGUGGCGAAGGCGGGUCUCUGGGCCGAUACUGACGCUGAGGAGCGAAAGCGUGGGGAGCGAACAGG